rnacentral:rRNA from 1 species
UCGAUUCCGGAGAGGGAGCCUGAGAAACGGCUACCACAUCUACGGAAGGCAGCAGGCGCGAAAAUUGCCCAAUCCUGAUUCAGGGAGGCAGUGACAAGAAAUAACAACUCUCAACUUUGUUGAGAAGUGUAAUGAGGAUAAUUUACAAACCUUACCGAAAGCAAUUGGAGGGCAAGUCUGGUGCCAGCAGCCGCGGUAAUUCCAGCUCCAAAAGCGUAUAUUAAAGUUGUUGCAGUUAAAAAGCUCGUAGUUGAAGUUCUGGCUGUAUUGGGCCUUUGCACUAGAUGCGAAGGAACCAGCAGUCAUCCGCUUGCAAAUACAUGUCCUUCCUUAACCGGUAGGCUGUAUAAGUAAGCACUUUACCUUGAGAAAAACAGAGUGUUCCAGGCAGGUUUGUCCGGAAUGCGUUAGCAUGGAAUAAUAGAAUAUGACUGAAGUCGAUUUAUUGGUUUAAGGCUUUAGUAAUGAUUAAUAGGAACAAUCGGG